rnacentral:rRNA from 1 species
GAUGAACGCUGGCGGCGUGCCUAAUACAUGCAAGUCGAGCGAACGGACGAGAAGCUUGCUUCUCUGAUGUUAGCGGCGGACGGGUGAGUAACACGUGGAUAACCUACCUAUAAGACUGGGAUAACUUCGGGAAACCGUAGCUAAUACCGGAUAAUAUUUUGAACCGCAUGGUUCAAAAGUGGAAGACGGUCUUGCUGUCACUUAUAGAUGGAUCCGCGCUGCAUUAGCUAGUUGGUAAGGUAACGGCUUACCAAGGCAACGAUGCAUAGCCGACCUGAGAGGGUGAUCGGCCACACUGGAACUGAGACACGGUCCAGACUCCUACGGGAGGCAGCAGUAGGGAAUCUUCCGCAAUGGGCGAAAGCCUGACGGAGCAACGCCGCGUGAGUGAUGAAGGUCUUCGGAUCGUAAAACUCUGUUAUUAGGGAAGAACAUAUGUGUAAGUAACUGUGCACAUCUUGACGGUACCUAAUCAGAAAGCCACGGCUAACUACGUG